rnacentral:rRNA from 1 species
ACUCUUGGACAGCCUUCUGAAAGGAAGAUUAAUACAAGAUGGCAUCAUGAGUCCACAUGUUCACAUGAUUAAAGGUAUUCCGGUAGACGAUGGGGAUGCGUUCCAUUAGAUAGUAGGCGGGGUAACGGCCCACCUAGUCUUCGAUGGAUAGGGGUUCUGAGAGGAAGGUCCCCCACAUUGGAACUGAGACACGGUCCAAACUCCUACGGGAGGCAGCAGUGAGGAAUAUUGGUCAAUGGGCGCAGGCCUGAACCAGCCAAGUAGCGUGAAGGAUGACUGCCCUAUGGGUUGUAAACUUCUUUUAUAAAGGAAUAAAGUCGGGUAUGCAUACCCGUUUGCAUGUACUUUAUGAAUAAGGAUCGGCUAACUCCGUGCCAGCAGCCGCGGUAAUACGGAGGAUCCGAGCGUUAUCCGGAUUUAUUGGGUUUAAAGGGAGCGUAGAUGGAUGUUUAAGUCAGUUGUGAAAGUUUGCGGCUCAACCGUAAAAUUGCAGUUGAUACUGGAUAUCUUGAGUGCAGUUGAGGCAGGCGGAAUUCGUGGUGUAGCGGUGAAAUGCUUAGAUAUCACGAAGAACUCCGAUUGCGAAGGCAGCCUGCUAAGCUGCAACUGACAUUGAGGCUCGAAAGUGUGGGUAUCAAACAGGAUUAGAUACCCUGGUAGUCCACACGGUAAACGAUGAAUACUCGCUGUUUGCGAUAUACGGCAAGCGGCCAAGCGAAAGCGUUAAGUAUUCCACCUGGGGAGUACGCCGGCAACGGUGAAACUCAAAGGAAUUGACGGGGGCCCGCACAAGCGGAGGAACAUGUGGUUUAAUUCGAUGAUACGCGAGGAACCUUACCCGGGCUUAAAUUGCAGAUGAAUUACGGUGAAAGCCGUAAGCCGCAAGGCAUCUGUGAAGGUGCUGCAUGGUUGUCGUCAGCUCGUGCCGUGAGGUGUCGGCUUAAGUGCCAUAACGAGCGCAACCCUUGUUGUCAGUUACUAACAGGUUCCGCUGAGGACUCUGACAAGACUGCCAUCGUAAGAUGUGAGGAAGGUGGGGAUGACGUCAAAUCAGCACGGCCCUUACGUCCGGGGCUACACACGUGUUACAAUGGGGGGUACAGAGGGCCGCUACCACGCGAGUGGAUGCCAAUCCCAAAAACCUCUCUCAGUUCGGACUGGAGUCUGCAACCCGACUCCACGAAGCUGGAUUCGCUAGUAAUCGCGCAUCAGCCACGGCGCGGUGAAUACGUUCCCGGGCCUUGUACACACCGCCCGUCAAGCCAUGGGAGCCGGGGGUACCUGAAGUGCGUAACCGCGAGGAGCGCCCUAGGGUAAAACUGGUGACUGGGGCUAAGUCGUAACAAGGUAGCCGUACCGGAAGGUGCGGCUG